AAUCCACAUAAUGUACGGCAGGGAAUGUUUUCAAUUUACUCGUCACUUCAUGGGCGAUCAUUCACUAAUGCAUGUAUAACAAUCUAAAACGUGAACCACUUUUCAUGACAGUAACUGAAUUAUGCAAAAGCGUAAUCGCGACCACUAAACUGCACAAAGGUUGGUCUACUGGUCCCAUUUGGGACCAGUGGCCGUUCUUCGACGAUGGUUCUAGCACAACUGAAGUUCGGGUUUACUUCUAGUUUCAUUAAGUAUCAGAUAAACCAAAUUUCCCAUUUUCUUCGCUUUCUGUCUGCCCUGUCCUUCGGUCAUGUCGUUGAGCAAUUAGUUGCCCAUGCUGACCUGUCUGCCUACCUAUUUCGAAUGCAUAAUUUCUUCCGUCAGGUACCUGUUACUAGUAGUGAUCCGCUAACCGCAGAAUGAAUCAGAGAAAUGGGUAAGUUGUCCGAGGUCGUUUUGCUACUACUACAGGGGAUAGACAAAAUAAUCUGGGCAGGCAAAAUUUUCACUUUCCAAAAAAUAUUCAACUAGCUGUAACUUUUAGAAAAAUGCAUCAAAAAUUCUCAAAUGUUCACCGUAAGUAGAUCAACUAGUUGUGUGGUCAAAAAGAUCGGGCUAUUCUGCACGAAGUAAUAAAGAGUCUAGGAAAAGGUAUAAUUAGCCGACAGCUGACUUUGAGCUGUUAUAUCUCCGGAUUCAAUGAACCGAAUGCAAUGAAAUUUUGACCAUUUAUGACUUAUAUAAUGGGCUAUGGAAAACUUUUGACUUAACCCUCUGAUACCCAAUCCCGCCUUUAGACGGGGUAUAGUUUGAGCAUUUUUAUAAUUUUUGCUACGUGGAGAAUCAAAAUUUUUAUAUUUUUGGCUGAUAUUUAGGACUGUUAUGUAUAUCUCAAAAUGGUUUUUGGUGUAUAUUAAAGUGUAUUUACAUUUUUUAAAAAUCAUUGAAAAAUUGAUGUUUAAGUCACCUUUUAGAAGUCAUUGUUUAUUUUGUAUUGAAUCGCUACAAUUAACAUAUUUUAAAUUUUUCCCAAAUCAUUCUACCCUAGUUUAAUAGUUUAAGGGAAUCGAAUACACUCUUAAAUUAUUUUCCUUAAAAUUACACGAAAAAUAAAAUUUUCUAUGAAAAAAAUUUAAAAUAAAAAUAUUUCAACAAUAAUCAUAAAAUCGCAAAAUGUUUUCAUCUCGAAAAAUCCGUACCCCAAAUAGGCUUCCAGGAAAAAUAUUAAAGUGUGGGGAUGUUCAAAAAUAAAAAUUAGAAAAAUCAAAAACUGAAAUUCACGAAAUCGAGAAUUAAAAAGAAUCGUCUUCCAAAGCAUAUUUAAAUCGAUUUUAGAUGACGAAAAAUGAUAUUUAGAUCAAAAUCAAAAAUUUGGGUAUUAGAGGGUUAACUUAAAAUUCUUAACAUGGAGGAAAUUAUAACGAUUAGAUUAUUUUUCUAAUAAAACACCAAAUUAUACAAAAUUUUAACAUCGUUUCAAAAUUAAAGAUGCUAAUUAUAGUUCAUAUAAAUUCCCUCUAAUUGACUUGAAUAUAAAUAUGUUUUGAAGGAAAGUAACAACACAGCCGGCAAUAAAUUGAAAAUGUAAUGGGAUGCAUAUUUAAAAUAGACCAAUUAACUAAAAAAUCCUAAAAUGAAUUAAAUUGUUAUAACUUUUUCUCUUGUUAAUAAUUUCAAGUUAAGUCACACGUUUUUCAGAGGUCAUUAUAUAAGCCAUAAAUUGUCAAAAUUUAAUUGUAUUAUGCUAUGUUCAGACUACGCCGUUGUAUCAUGAUAUAAGCGGUUUUCGUGAUACAAGGCCAAUAUCAUGUUUCUGGAACGUGAUAUUGCCAUACAUUUUUGACACCUCCAAUAUCACCUUCUCGAACGUGAUAUUCUGAAUAUCACGAUACAACUGCUCGAAUUUGCUGCUCGAAUGACGAUUUUCUGGCAACCCUGUCGGAUUUGACAGCAAUGCCAAACCAGAAAGUUUGUUUUUAUUUAUAAUCUUUUUUCAUUUUUCGCGUCCACAACGGCUACUACCGCAAGAAAAACCGGGAUCAGAAACCAAGUUGUGUGAUAAUCUUUCGUAAUAUCGGAGAAAGUCGGUGCGGAUGUGCAGAUCCGGAUAGUGUUUCGGUUGGGGUAGGAACAUCGCCACAAAAAAGGAACCAUUGUGUUAAUUUCGGGAAGCGGCAAUAGUGGAAUCCAGGAAUCGGCAGCAUUUACCGCGACACUGAACGAGGCAAAAGUUCCAAUACGGUCACCAGCAAUUACCAUAAUUUGUGGAGGUAUUUUUACUGGCACAUGCAACGAAGGUGUAUUCUUCCUCCAGGGUAAAUGAAAUUCGCCGUGGACAUUCACCUGACACCGGUUACCUCUGCCAUACAAAGCGCCAGCAACCACAUUUGGAAAUUCUAUCUAAACAAUCAUCGGCAUUUCGGUCGAUGCAUGAUGCACGGAUGUCGAUAUGGAGGUUCAAUAAGGUCAAUCAUCGAGUGGUUGAGAAACUGAAACUGCCGCCUAAUGCGAUGGUGACCGUGACGCCCAACAGCAAAAUCAGCACAUUGAUCCGGAGCUGGACCAAAUGAUGCUAGAGCUCUACCCAAAAUUGAUCUACCUACUGAUCCAGACUGAUCCUAGCCAAGAUUAUCGCCUGCUUAUUUUUAAUUUUAAGUGAAAUGGUUCAAGGAUGAUUUGAUCUGAACGGAUAUUUCAAGAUAUAUUGAUGUUGUGAACGAAGUACGGUAAAUAAUUUAUUGAAUUAUAGCCAUUUGUCUUGGUAUUAUACUGUUGACAAUUGAUA